GUGUCAGCCGCCGCGGUAAUACGGAGGGUGCAAGCGUUAUCCGGAUUCACUGGGUUUAAAGGGUGCGUAGGUGGGCUAGUAAGUCCGUGGUGAAAUCCCCGAGCUUAACUCGGGAACUGCCGUGGAUACUAUUAGUCUUGAAUAUCGUGGAGGUAAGCGGAAUAUGUCAUGUAGCGGUGAAAUGCUUAGAUAUGACAUAGAACACCGAUAGCGGAGGCAGCUUACUACGCGAUUAUUGACACUGAGGCACGAAAGCGUGGGGAUCAAACAGGAUUAGAAACCCUCGUAGUCC
rnacentral:rRNA from 1 species